CCUACGGGUGGCAGCAGUGGGGAAUAUUGCACAAUGGGGGAAACCCUGAUGCAGCCACGCCGCGUGAGUGAAGAAGUCAUUCGUUAUUUAAAGCUCUUUCAGCCGGGAAGAAAACGACGGUACUUGUGUAAUAAUCCCUGGCUAAUUACGUGCCAGAAGCCGCGGUAAUACGUCGGGCGCAAGCGUUAUCCGGAUGUACUGGGUGUAAAGGGAGCGUAGACGGCAGUGCAAGUCUGGCGUGAAAGGCGGGGGCUCAACCCCCGAACUGCUCUGGAAACUGUACGGCUAGAGUGCAGUAGAGGGAAGUGGAAUUCCUGGUGUAGCGGUGAAAUGCGUAGAUAUUAGGAGGAACACCAGUGGCGAAGGCGGCUUACUGGACUGAAACUGACGUUGAGGCUCGAAAGCGUGGGGAGCAAACAGGAUUAGAUACCCGAGUAGUC
rnacentral:rRNA from 1 species